rnacentral:rRNA from 1 species
UCCCGUACCUCUUAAAGUUUCGAUGGAGUGACGCAUGACCUUAACUACUGCUAGCCGAUGGUUGUCCUAGUUUAAACAUUAAGGCGAUGAUCUUAAUAGGAAAAUCCGUUAAGAGAGCUAAGAUGUGAUGAUGAGUGCUAUUUAGGUAGCAUGAAAUCUAGGUAGUCAAGGUGCCAAGUAAAAGCUUCUAAGGUUAGGCAAUAAGGGACCGUACCGGAAACCGACACAGGUAGGUGGGAUGAAAUUUCUAACC